GUCCCUGGUGCAAAUGGUUAAUGUACUAGGCUGCUAACCAAAAUGGUGGUUCAAGUCCACCCAGAGGUG
rnacentral:tRNA from 1 species